GAUCGUGUAAUGUAGUGGUUAGCAUUCCAGAUUUUGAUUCUGGCAACCUGGGUUCGAAUCCCAGCAUGAUCA